rnacentral:rRNA from 1 species
AGUGAACGCUGGCGGUAGGCCUAACACAUGCAAGUCGAACGGCAGCACAGUAAGAGCUUGCUCUUACGGGUGGCGAGUGGCGGACGGGUGAGGAAUACAUCGGAAUCUACUUUUUCGUGGGGGAUAACGUAGGGAAACUUACGCUAAUACCGCAUACGACCUACGGGUGAAAGCAGGGGAUCUUCGGACCUUGCGCGAUUGAAUGAGCCGAUGUCGGAUUAGCUAGUUGGCGGGGUAAAGGCCCACCAAGGCGACGAUCCGUAGCUGGUCUGAGAGGAUGAUCAGCCGCACUGGAACUGAGACACGGUCCAGACUCCUACGGGAGGCAGCAGUGGGGAAUAUUGGACAAUGGGCGCAAGCCUGGUCCAGCCAUACCGCGUGGGUGAAGAAGGCCUUCGGGUUGUAAAGCCCUUUUGUUGGGAAAGAAAAGCAGCAGGUUAAUACCCCGCUGUUCUGACGGUACCCAAAGAAUAAGCACCGGCUAACUUCGUG